rnacentral:rRNA from 1 species
GAUGUUGGGUUAAGUCCCGCAACGAGCGCAACCCUUGUCCUUAGUUGCCAGCCUUAAGUUGGGCACUCUAAGGAGACUGCCGGUGACAAACCGGAGGAAGGUGGGGACGACGUCAAGUCAUCAUGGCCCUUACGAGUAGGGCUACACACGUGCUACAAUGGCGACUACAGAGGGCUGCAAUCCCGCGAGGGGGAGCCAAUCCCUAAAAGUCGUCUCAGUUCGGAUUGCACUCUGCAACUCGAGUGCAUGAAGUUGGAAUCGCUAGUAAUCGCUGGUCAGCUACACAGCGGUGAAUCCGUUCCCGGGCCUUGUACACACC